ACGGGUGAGUAAUGUCUGGGAAACUGCCUGAUGGAGGGGGAUAACUACUGGAAACGGUAGCUAAUACCGCAUAACGUCGCAAGACCAAAGAGGGGGACCUUCGGGCCUCUUGCCAUCAGAUGUGCCCAGAUGGGAUUAGCUAGUAGGUGGGGUAACGGCUCACCUAGGCGACGAUCCCUAGCUGGUCUGAGAGGAUGACCAGCCACACUGGAACUGAGACACGGUCCAGACUCCUACGGGAGGCAGCAGUGGGGAAUAUUGCACAAUGGGCGCAAGCCUGAUGCAGCCAUGCCGCGUGUAUGAAGAAGGCCUUCGGGUUGUAAAGUACUUUCAGCGGGGAGGAAGGUGUUGUGGUUAAUAACCACAGCAAUUGACGUUACCCGCAGAAGAAGCACCGGCUAACUCCGUGCCAGCAGCCGCGGUAAUACGGAGGGUGCAAGCGUUAAUCGGAAUUACUGGGCGUAAAGCGCACGCAGGCGGUCUGUCAAGUCGGAUGUGAAAUCCCCGGGCUCAACCUGGGAACUGCAUUCGAAACUGGCAGGCUAGAGUCUUGUAGAGGGGGGUAGAAUUCCAGGUGUAGCGG
rnacentral:rRNA from 1 species